rnacentral:rRNA from 1 species
CCAAUAGCGUAUAUUAAAGUUGUUGCAGUUAAAAAGCUCGUAGUUGAAUUUCGGGAUCAAGUCGUCGGUCGUGCUCAGGUACGUACUGGCGUCAUUGAUUUCUCCCUUCUGACGAACCAUGAUGUCAUUAACUUGGUGUCAUGGGAAAUCAGGACUGUUACUUUGAAAAAAUUAGAGUGUUUAAAGCAGGCUCACGCUUGAAUACAUUAGCAUGGAAUAAUGAAAUAGGACGUUCGAUCCUAUUUUGUUGGUUUUAGGAUCAACGUAAUGAUUAAUAGGGAUAGUUGGGGGCAUUAGUAUUCAAUUGUCAUAGGUGAAAUUCUUGGAUUUAUUGAAGACUAACUACUGCGAAAGCAUUUGCCAAGGAUGUUUUCAUUAAUCAAGAACGAAAGUUAGGGGAUCGAAGACGAUCAGAUACCGUCGUAGUCUUAACCAUAAACUAUGCCGACUAGGGAUCGGAUGAUGUUAAUUUUUUAAUGACUCAUUCGGCGCCUUACG